rnacentral:lncRNA from 1 species
AUCUCUGAUCAGAUCAAGAAUUUAAAAUAGCUUAUAAAAUUUCUUUAUCUAGUGAUCAGAGAGUUCAUCCACAAUAGCAAUCACAUGUCGAACCACUUGUAAGGAUAAAUGAACCAAUACAUAAUCUAUUGAUUGAUGAAGCACCAAAAUUAAAACUCAAAACACUCCUUGAGCACCUCAAAUAUAUGUAUCUAGGUCUAUCAAAAACCCUACCCAUAAUCAUCGCAUC